GUAUCAUUAUGUAAAGACACGUUUUAUUUUUGAAGUAAAAUCAAAUUUUGCUUCUUUAAAUUUUUAAAUUUUCAGUUUUAACUAACGUAUGACAGAAAAAAACUGUGCAGUUGAAAAAUGUAGUGUUUGUCGUUAAGAGUCACAUGAAUUAUUAUCUGGAAAAAGACGUCACACUUCAUUCAUUUUGUCAUCCUUUGUUAAGGUAAGACAUUUUAUCUGUCUUUAUCUGUCAGCCAGUUAUUCAUUAUUAACAAUUUCUGCUUUCUCUCCAGCUUGCCACAUCUGUUGGCUCCUAGAAUACUUUAUUGUUCUGUUUUUUUCUCUCACUUCCUCUAUUUCCCUCUGGCAAUUCUCUUAGUUAGUUGUCUGUUCAUGUGUAACAUGCCUUCCAUUUUUCGCGAUCCUUUAAAUCUCAAUAUAUAUGCAUCAUUGACUUCCACCAGUUUUUAAAAUAAAUCUCAAGGAUGUUCUGGGGUGCAUCAUCAGUGAUGUUUCGAGGGUCGUUGGGUUAGGGUUAGUUAGUUAGUUUCGGGUCUUUAAACAUCAUGUGACAUCAUGCUGUUGUUUAUAUUCUUCUCCAUUAUUCUUUCAUCCUUUUAAUCCUUUACUUGUUUUCCAUGAAAAAGUCACGUCACACGUUGGAUGUGGAUUGGCAUUUGAUUUUCAUGUUUGUAAUUACAAGACUUGCAUAAUCUGUUAAAACAACUAUUAAAUGAAGUAAUCACAUUUACGGGAUUAUUUUACAAUUAAUGGUUAAUUAUCCUAAUAACAAUGUAAUUUUACCAAUCGUGCAUUCACUGGCAUGGUUGGUUUUGAUAACAUUGUUUAUCUGUUGUCCUUUGUUCUCAUUGAAUAGUGCUCUAAAGAAUUAGUAUGUCAGUGGUCUGAUUUCCAUUGAAUUCCUGGAACUAAAGUUGAGGCAGUAACUGAAAACUGCAAACCUUUAGUUCUUUGAAUAAUUAACUUGCGCUGUGGAAGUCCGGUUAUGGAAAAAAUUCUUCCAGGACAGUUUCCUUCUCCCUUCUGCUGCUCCCUUCAGGGAUCAAAGCCUUUUUUUUUGCUUUGAGGUUGAGUUACAUUUAGAAAUUGAUACAAACAUUUGGUUCUCAUCACAAAAUAUUAUAUUGUGUGCAACAGGUAGAGACCAAAGAGCAAGGAAUGGUUAUAGGUUUUUAUUAUCCACUUAACCAAACUGUAAACAGACAGAGUCGUUCAAGGAAAACAUGGGUUGAUUUUAGAAACCUAAACACACAGUAGUGUCAUUAUGCACAUGUAAAAACUUGAUUUACCUAAACUACUGGAACUCUUAUGGUGGUUGUGAAUGUAGCCAAUUGGUUUUAAAAUGAAACUU